ensembl:snRNA U6 U6 spliceosomal RNA
GUGCUCACUUCGACAGCACACAUACUAAAAUUGGAAUGAUACAGAGAUUAGCAUGACAUGGCCCCUGUACAAGGAUGACAUGCAAAUUUGUGAAGUAUAUAUUUUAAAU